rnacentral:rRNA from 1 species
CACAUGCAAGUCGAACGGCGUAUUUCUUGGAGGCUCGGCCAAGAGAGUUAAGCUAGUGGCGGACGGGUGAGUAACGCGUGGAGAACCUGCCCUGUACUGGGGGAUAACAGUGAGAAAUCACUGCUAAUACCGCAUAAGCGCACGGCACCGCAUGGUGCUGUGUGAAAAACUCCGGUGGUACAGGAUGGCUCCGCGUUGGAUUAGCCAGUUGGCGGGGUAACGGCCCACCAAAGCGACGAUCCAUAGCCGGCCUGAGAGGGUGAACGGCCACAUUGGGACUGAGACACGGCCCAGACUCCUACGGGAGGCAGCAGUGGGGAAUAUUGCACAAUGGGGGGAACCCUGAUGCAGCGACGCCCGCGUGAAGGAUGAAGUAUCUCGGUAUGUAAACUUCUAUCAGCAGGGAAGAUGAUGACGGUACCUGACUAAGAAGCCCCGGCUAACUACGUGCCAGCAGCUGC